CACUCUCUGCGAAAUACGUGAGGUGGUAUUCGUUUUUAUUCCUUAUAACGUGUUUUAAUGGGAGUCGUACUCUGACUGUGGAAAGCAUGCUUGCACGUGAUGCAAGAAGCAUAGAAGCAGCCAUCACGACGCCCCCUUGUUUUUAACGAGGAUAAAACAGACCCCCACGGUUAGUGUGGAGAGUGC
rnacentral:other from 1 species